UUGCUCGCUUUGGCAGCACAUAUACUAAAAUUGUAAUGAUACAGAGAAGAUUAGCAUAGCCCCUAUGCAAGGAUGAUAUGCAAAUUCGUGAAGCAUUCCAUAUUUUU
ensembl:snRNA U6 U6 spliceosomal RNA